GACAGAGGAUGCAAGCGUUAUCCGGAAUGAUUGGGCGUAAAGCGUCUGUAGGUGGCUUUUAAGUCCGCCGUCAAAUCCCAGGGCUCAACCCUGGACAGGCGGUGGAAACUACCAAGUUGGAGUACGGUAGGGGCAGAGGGAAUUUCCGGUGGAGCGGUGAAAGUGCGUGAGAGAUCGGAAAGAACACCAACGGCGAAAGCACUCUGCUGGGCCGACACUGACACUGAGAGACGAAAGCUAGGGGAGCGAAUGGG
rnacentral:rRNA from 1 species